CCUUUAAGGAUUUCUAUGAACUUUAGUGGAACAAAUGAAUCGUGAUUAUUUUUAAAACUGGAGCUGACUGAAUAAUGCCAAAUCUAUUGCUGCCAAGGUGGGCUUUUCAGAAGAUUCAGACCUGAGGAGUCAGGCAGACCUUUCAAAUACAAGAACAAUAGGAUAGUCCUAAAAUGAAGGAAGAUUAACUCUGAAAAUCAAAUAAUGAGUUUUGGUUGCUGCUGCUUUUUAAACAUGUUAAACAGGUAGGGGACCAAUAUGCUUGCAAAUGACCGAAGUCUUCCUUUCCAGUGGUAAUCCCUAUUCUUUUGAAAAGCUAAUAAAAAUGGUGUAUGAAAGAAAUUCCUGGGGCACUGCAGAACUCACCCUCCUAGGGAGAGAGCCAGAUGUGUUGGUUAAUAACCUAGCAAGCAUUCAAAGCCAGGGCAGUAACCACUUGGUAUCACCUAAGCCAGACGUUCUGCUUAGAUGCAAUGGAAUAUCACAUACUGGUCACAUUCACAGCAAAGAGCUGGAAGACAUGUGUAGUCUUAU